CAAUUCAGCAACAAAAUCUAUAUGGCCCACACGAUGACACAACACAGAGUGCAGAGAGAGAGUGCGUCUGAGUCAUAGACAGUUCCCCCUCUAAGAUCUCGAAGCGAAUCCGCCUAUCAAGCUCUCAGUCGCCAUCGCCGGAAAACCCAGUCCAAUCUGCAGAAUUCCGAUUCGGAAGUGUAAAGAUCUCAGCUUUGAGAUAUGAUGAUCGCCGCGGUGGCGCUGGUGGCGGUUAUCCUUCUGGUAGCUUUCUUUUUGAUCCCACGAGGCCCAAAAUAUGGGAAAGUAAAGAAAGUUCUGUCGAAUCAGAAGCCAGCCAGAAUGUACACGAAGGCUGAUGUCUCGUUGCAUAACAAGCGAACGGAUUGUUGGAUAAUUAUUAAAGACAAGGUAUACUGAUAUUACCUCAUACGUAGAGGAGCACCCGGGUGGUGAUGCCAUUCUAGAUCAUGCUGGGGAUGAUUCGACUGAAGGGUUUUUCGGGCCGCAGCAUGCAACCCGAGUCUUUGACAUGAUCGACGACUUUUACAUUGGAGAUCUGGUGCUGUGACCAACUCGGAGUCACUUUUCUUUCUCUUUUGUAAUAUCGGUUGGAGAAUGUACUUUGCCAUUCCGUUUUCUCUUUGCAUUUCCGUUUCUUGAUUGCAGCAAUGUAUCUUUACACACUUUCCAGCGGGUUUUAGUGAGAAAUUUUUCCUUUA